UUCUUAUCAAGAGAGGUGGAGGGAUUGGCCCUGUGAAACCUCAGCAACCAGCCUAUAUCGUUAGGCCCGGUGCUAAGUCCAAAUAGACGAAGUGGUAAGUCUAGAAGAUAAGAA
rnacentral:ncRNA from 2 species